rnacentral:lncRNA from 1 species
CUCUGGCAGGGCUGCUGGUGUCUGAACCUAAAAUGGGAAUAGUUUUGUUGAGGAUUGUGCCCUUCACCUGUGACAUCGAUGGUAGCUCAGGACUGCACUGCAGUAUUGCAGCUCCUACCUUCAAACAUUCACAGAUUAGUAGAGAAGAGAAGACAUAGAUGCAAAUAAGAUUGCAAGUGCCAUGCAACAGUUACAGAUGUGCUCUGAGAAACAAGAGACAGGAAAAAGAACUCAGAACUGGGGAUACUGGAGGAGGCCUUGGGGAAGAGGAUAGCCCUUGCCUGGAGCCUUGAAAGAUGAGUCCGAUUUAGACGUGCAGAAAUUGUAAUAAACACUUCUUGAGCACUUACUCUGCAUCAAGCUCUGUUCUGCUGCUUCACAUAUAAUAAAUUAUAUAACAUACAUAGUCCUGUAAAGUUGCACUAAUAUUAUCUUUCUCUUACAGCACAGUACACUGAAGCACCCGGAGAUCAAACACAGAGGUUGCAUAGCUAAUAAGUGGAGACCUGAGAUUUGAACCCAGACAAUGAGAGUCUUGAACAAUUACUCUUGACUGCCUUUCAAGCAAGAGGAAAGAACAUUCCAGGAGGAAGGAAUAGCAGAAACAGAGGGGAAAACAGAGCAUGACACAGAAAUUGCCAUGAGAUGGAGAAUAAUCAGUCGUCAGAAGAAAAUAGAAGACCAACUCUUACAGCUGAGUAGAAGGGAGGCAUAUGUAAGGAUUUACUAUCCAGUGGCUCUGGCAAGCUACACCAGAUCACCCUUACGUACUGGGCAGGACAUCAAAAGACUCUUUCUACAAAUGGAGCUAUGGAGCCUCCCUGGACACACAGACCCAUCCCUGCAGGGCUGCCUUACAUAUCAGAAAUGUCCAACAUGGACUGCACGGG